GGUGCCGUAGCCAAUGACAGGCCACGUUGUGUCCCAGCAGCCAAUCGGAAGGGCCUGAGCCUGAAGACGUGCAUUUGACCGCUCCUCCCUCCGCGUUGGAGGCGGAAUAGUGGGUUUUGCUGCAACCGGUUUAUUUUCCUUCUGUUUUCACCCAUUCGGGCACAAUCUGGCGCCAUCGUCCUUCUUGUGAGGCCAAGCCUGAAAAUGCGAAGCAGAGAGGCAGGACCAAAAUUGAGGCGAAUCCGGGAACCUGCCAAUGGGUCUCCGGGUGCGGUCUCUGAAACUGGAGGAUAUCGGGAGGAAAGGCUCUCCGAUGCGGAGAUAAUGGGGAAGCUCUUGGCAUGGUUGGCUGUAGGUAUGUGAUACCGGAGGAGCAGGAGUCAAAUAGGAUACGCCGACUUUUAAUUCAAGGAACCCUUUUCUGAAACACUUUGCCACAAUGAAGGAAAUAAGAUUACAGCCGAAGAUACAUAUUAAGGAAUUGUACUCUCAGAGAUGUUGAGAAAAGAUACAUGGGUCUUGGAAGAUAAUUACUCAAAAUAUGCAGGGAAGGUAGUAUAUCUUUCUAUUUUAAAUGUAUUAAGUAUUCCUGGAACUAUAGCAGUGAGUUGGAAAUGGAGGAUUGUCCAAGUAAAAAACAUUUUUUAAGGCUUUAAUGAAAUCUACCUAUUUUAUGGUAUAGAAUCUCAUUAAUUGUCCACUUGGAAAGAAUAAUAACAGAUAUUUAUUUAUUGGCCAGUUACUAUGGGCCACAAAUUAUGCUGAGCUUUUUAAAAUUUAAUUUAAUUUAAUUUUAUUUUUUGAGAUGGGGUCUCACUCUGUCACCCAGGCUGGAGUGCAGUGGCGCAAUCUCAGCUUAUUGCAACCUCUGUCUUCCAGGCCCAAGCAAUCUUCCCACCUCAGCUUCCUAAGUAGCUGGGACCACAUGCAUGUACCACUACACCUGGCUAAUUUUUUUUUGUAUUUUUGGUAGAGA
rnacentral:lncRNA from 1 species